UACGAGGGGAGCAAGCGUUGUUCGGAUUUACUGGGCGUAAAGGGCGCGUAGGCGGUCGUGACAAGUCACUUGUGAAAUCUCCGGGCUUAACUCGGAACGGUCAAGUGAUACUGUCGGACUAGAGUACAUAAGGGGCAACUGGAAUUCUCGGUGUAGCGGUGAAAUGCGUAGAUAUCGAGAGGAACACCUGCGGCGAAGGCGGGUUGCUGGGCUGAUACUGACGCUGAUGCGCGAAAGCUAGGGGAGCAAACGGG
rnacentral:rRNA from 1 species